UUCUAGAGAAAUCUAAACACCAGUAAAGGGAAUGUUAAAAAAAUGAUGAAAGGGGCAAAAACAGAGAAGAAACAGAGAGAGAUUGGAUGACGAGAGACAGAGAGAGAGAGAGAGAGAGGGAGAGAGAGAGACCGAGUAGCAUAACUGAGAGAGCAGCGGCAAACCACCAUCUCCGGCGGUCAGGCCAAAUUUCUAGCUUUCCAGUAAUGAGACUUACUCCAAUCAAGCCUAGUUGAACCUCCGUUCACAAGAAUCGUGAGACUAGGAAGGUGAAAGGGGAAAGAGAACCAGCAGCUACGGGCUAUUAGUGCCAGGCCAGCGAAGCCAACCGGAUCCUCCUCCACGCAGCAAAUUGCAAAAUUGAAGGAUAAACCUAUAAUAAUGAGGUGGUUAGUACCUUCAAGUAAACGUCUAUGGCACGAUAAAGACCAUCAUCCAGGGGCCGGGCAUAUUCAGGAACAGCAGCAGCAAGAGCCUGAAACUUGGGGAGCUUCAAAUUCACAUCAGGAGCAACCUCUGCCAGGUAUCCAUCGAUCAGUUUGGCCACCAACGUGAUUGGUGUUAAUGAUGGCGAUCCAAUCAAAUGGCUAUCAUCUACUGAACAUGGAGACGCCCCACCUGUAAUUUGAUCCAUGGCAAGGAAGUGUUCAAGAAUCCGCUGCACACAGUCAACAUUGUAAAGUGUCUCCAUGGAAUAAGAGAAAUUGGGCAUCAAAAGAUCUUCUAGGGUUGCUUGAUCAAGCUGCAUGCCAAUCCUUUUCUCUAAGUUUGAUAAACAAGAGCUUGCUUUUAGAAUCAAGGCUGUCCGAAGAAGACCAAACAGGAACUUGGUAGGGACUAGGCCCUUCUGCAUUGGAAGCAACCUAUCAAUAUCUUCAAGCAAAGCCUUCUGGUCUUCUUCUGAUGGUGGAGCCAAACCCACAGCCAUUAAACGGGAACUAGACUCACUAGCACCUUGACGCCUAUUCAACCCGGGCAGGUACUUUUUGGCAUAGAAAGCAAGGGAUCCAGCAAUAACCUCUUGUCUGACACCACGAGAUUCCAUUAUGGAAAUCAACCUCUUAUAGAGAGGUAAACUUAAAGUCAACACAUCCUCAUACCACCAAUCUGAACUUGAUUUUUUGGGUCUAGCCCCUGUGCUUAUCCCAUUCCACAAGACACUUCCUCCAGGACUCUGCAUGGGCCCAUGCUCCAUUAUAGGCCAUCCAAAAAGAUUUGGGUCAGUAUAUGCUUUUGUGGCGAGUGACUCAAUACACUUCUUUGUAAUGUGAAGUUCUUCAGCAUAGGGAAGACUCUGAUCACAUGUUUGAAGUGCCUUUAAAGAAUCGUUCCAAUUACCAAGGACUACUUGCUUAAAAAAGGUCUCAGUCUGCAUAAUUAGAUUGCCCUCCCCAUAAUCCUCGGUCAUUUCAAGAUGCUCAGCAGCACAACGGAGGUACACAACAUUUGAGGAGGUAAGCUCAAGUUUCACACCAUAACAGAACUUGGCCACAAGUUCAAAAGUUUUGGCCCCACCAGGAUUGUAAUGGAGAUUUAUAACACAUUUUUCAUCCCCUUCUUCCAA